AGCAUGACCUGCAGGUCCAGAUGAGGGAGCAGUGUGGGGACUACGAGGAGCUGCUGGGUCAGAAGAUGGCCCGGGACAUCGAGAUCGUUGCCUACAGGGGUUUGGUGGAAGAGGAGGAUGUGCUACCUGUGAGAGGAACCGAUCCAGACCAGGCCAAACAACCGGCUUUCGGCGAUGGAUAUCCCCCAUACAGAUUUGACGUGACGCCAAAACACAACAGACCCAAAUCAUCCAUUAGAGAUCCCAUGAAGCUAACCGCCACACAACCAUUUGAACAGAUGUAAACGUAUCGUAACAGAUGAACAACUUCUGGAGGGCGAGCCAGGCCAUUGAUAACAGGUCACUGGCAGGUGACCCCUGUCCUUUAGAAAGAUGGAAUUCUCUAACAUUGGGGGAGUUUCUUCAGUGUCUGUGAAGAGACUCUGAAAUGUCCCUAAGUGGUCUCUAUCUGUUGUGUCUACAGUGUCUGGAGGUCAUGGCAGGUCACCUUUCAUUUGCUUAACAGUUGUGGGUUUUACACAGAACUGGCAGUCAAGUCAGUCACACCGUUCAUGUAUACUUGGGAACUGGUAUAUUAGCUUUGCAAAUGGUUGGUGAAGUUGACAUUCUGCAGCUCCUAUAUACCUGGUCGACUACAGCAGGGAGCUUGUGUGCAGUCCCUGACUUAUUUGCUCAUUCUCUGCCCAUGACCUGGACGAACUUAGUCAAGUUUAAACCAAAACAAUAAAAAUAAAU
rnacentral:lncRNA from 1 species